CGGCUCCACCCCUCCUGGGCCCUCCCUUCGGGACAGGGACUGUCCCGCCCAGAGUGCUGAAUACCCGCGCGACCGUCUGGAUCCCCGCUCAGGAAGCCCCUCUGAAGCCUCCUCGCCGCCGUUUCUGAGAAGCAGGGCACCUGUUAACUGGUACCAAGAAAAGGCCCAAGUGUUUCUCUGGCAUCAGUUGGUGUCUGGAUCCACCACUCUACUCUGUCUCUGGAAACAGCCCUUCCACGUCUCUGCAUUCCCUGUCACCGUGUCACUGGCCUUCAGACAGAGCCAAGGUGCAGGGCAAUACCUCUACAAGGAUCUGCAGCCAUUUAUAUUGCUUAGGCUACUGCCACAGGACAAAAGAAUGAGAGAGGAGAAAGCAGCAGGGGAGAGAAGUGAACCAAAUUUUGAAUGCUGGGAGCAGAUGGACAGGUGGUGACUGACCUUCCCUCAAGCAUCUCUGGAGCCACAGCCCCCAGCCGGCUGUGUCCAGCACGUGACAACAAAACUGAAGCUUGGCCAGGCACAGCGGCUCAAGGACUGUAUCACUUGAACCCCGGAGGCGGAGGUUACAGUGAGGCGAGAUCGUGCCAUUGCACUCCAGCCUGGGUGACAGAGCACUUUGGGGGACCAAGGCAGGCAGAUCAUGAAGUCAGGAGAUCAAGACCAUCCUGGCUAACAUGGUGAAACCCUGUCUCUACUAAAAAUAUAAAAAUUAGCGGGAUGUGGUGGCACAUGCCUGUAAUCCCAGCUACUCAGGAGGCUGAGGCAGGAGAAUCACUUGAACCAGGGAGUCGGAGGUUGUGGUGAGCUGAGAUCACGCCACUGCACUCCAGCCUGGCAACAGAGAUAGACUUUGUCACAAAAAAAAAAAAAAAAGGCCAGGCGCAGUGGCUUAAGCCUGUAAUCCCAGCACUUUGAGAGGCUGAGGCAGGCAGAUCACAAGGUCAGGAGUUGGAGACCAACCUGGCCAAUAUGGUGAAACCCCAUCUCUACUAAAAAUACAAAAAUUAGCCGGGCGUGGUGGCAGACGCCUGUAGUCCCAGCUACUCGGGAGGCUGAGGCAGGAGAAUCGCUUGAACCCAGGAGGCGGAGGUUGUAGUGAGCCGAGAUCAGGCCACUGCACUCCAGCCUGGGAGACAGAGCGAGACUCUGUCUCAAAAAAACAAAAAAGAAGAAAAAGAAAAACAAACCCGAGGCUUAAAGAGAAGAGACUUGCCCCCAGGUCAGUCAAGGAGGAAUAAAGAAGCCAACACUCCCUCUCCCUGGAGGUGGCAGGGAGGGAAGGCAUCCGGAAGGGAUAAUGUUGAUUUGUCUCCUAAAGGAGUGGACAUUUUCCAGGGAAGAGGAACAGCAUGAGAGCAGAGGUGUGAACUAGCCGGGUGCCGAGGUGGGAGGGCCUUUUAUUGCAGGGUUUGGAGAUGAGGGCAGAAGCUGACAGGACCAGGUUACAGAGGACCGGUAGGCCCAGCCCAAGAGUCUAUAAGGAAGUCUGCACUGAAACUCACAAUCCAUUCGUGACAAGGUGGCCUGAUCAGGGUACCCACUACCUGGUCAAUUGGCCACAUAGGCAAUUCCUGACAGCCAGGUGAUCCCUGGCUCAGCGUAGACAAAGGAACUAUCAGCUCCCCUACCAGGCAGGAACAUCACAUCUGCUCAUUCCUCCUCUAGUUUCAGUUUUAACCCACCCCACCUCGGGGGGUAUCUGAGGAUAAACAAGCCCUCUGGGCACUGGACGGACCAGCUAGGCCUGUUCUUCCACUGGCUGAACCAGAGGUUGCCCUUGGGGGGACUCAAAGGCCUCUGCUCUUGCAUUGGCCAAGACCAGAACAGGAGCAGCAGUGGAGGGGAGAGCCAACCUGCACCCACCCCCACUUUGUACCCACCACCCUAUAGUUGAAAGGGAGAUCCUGGGAGGUUUUGGGGAGGAGCAGGGAGGGCUGUCCACAAUCCACAAUCCCUGGCUGUCUACCUUAAGACUCAGCUUGCUUCAAAUUUUCCUUUUUUUUUUUUUAACCCUCCAUUCUUUCUUCUUUUAAAAAAAUUGCUUUUGCUGGGCGUGGUGGCUCACACCUGUAACCCCAGCACUUUGGGAGGCCAAGGGUGGCAGUUUAUCUGAGGUCAGGAGUUUGAGACCAGCCUGGCCAACAUGGAGAAACCCCGUCUCUACUAAAAAUACAAAAUUAGCAAGGCGUGGUAGUGGGCGCCUAUAAUCCCAGCUAUUCGGGAGGCUGAGGCAGAGAAUCACUUGAACCCACGAGGUGGAGGUUGCAGUGAGCUGAGAUCAUUCCACUGCACUCCAGCCUGGGCGACAGAGCGAGACUGUCUCAAAAAAAAGAAAAUUGCUUUCUUCUCUUACACAGUUUCAUUCCCACUCCAUGAAAGGCUAGAAGCUUUGCCAUGAACUUUUCAGGGUGAAACAUUAAUGACGGUGAUCUAGACUGGAGGUCACAUAAUUCUCACUUUCCUGAUUCUCCCAUACACAGGGAAUAACGAAAAAAUGAAAUUCCUAAACUUCAAAGCCAUUUCCAACUGGAGGCCCCAUAUACAACCAAUUAGCUGGCCAGUAGGUGGCGCCAAAGGUUAAUCACAGCCUUUGGGAGAAGGGUUCCCAUUUGGUCCCGCUGGAAAGCAAUUCAGUUAUCCAUUCAGCACACAUAGAUGGCUGCGUGCCAUGUGCCGCGUCUUGAGAUGAGAAAGACAGAGUCUAAUUUCAAUUCACACCAGGGACUAAGAGCUGUGGAGGAGGCAUCCAGAGAGAAUUUGGCCAGAGCAGGUGAUUUCCAAGCCAAGCUUGGCAGACACGUAUUUGCCUGGAGAAGGGCAUCGCAAGAGGUUCCAGGUGCAUUUGGAGAACAACCCAGCAUGGAGAGAUGAUCGGGGCAGACCGUAGACCCUUGGGCUGCUGCAGUAAUCUGAGUGAAUGAAAGGGAAUGCUGUAAUGUUGAAUCUGAGGGGCCCUGAGUGCACUUAGCAGGAUUUGCUGCCCCUGGAGGCUGGAGGGAGGGGCGAGAGAAUGGAGCUGCUGUGAACUCGGAGGAGGUGAGGCUGGAACAAAACCAGAAAACAAUGCAGCCACAUAUUCUUGGUGCACACCCCGCCCCUACCUCCCUUUUCUCCGUAUCUAUUUCUCUGCCAUAUUCUUAAAUCACCAGGUCCCCUGGUCAGGUCUGACCAUGGUGCCCCAUUAGGCUGCCUUGGGGAACUCAGGUGGGUUGUGGGCAGGGCUGGAGGUGCCUUGGUGACAUGUGGGUGCCCUGCAUUCCAGGUCUGAGAGCACCAAGAUCAGGCAUGGAGAUGGGCACAGGAGGGGGCCUCCCAAGGAAGGUGUGUGUUGCAGGCAGAGGUGGGGUCAGCCAGGCCCUGGGAUUUGAAUACCAAGAGAGGGACUACAGGCUCAGUGUCCUGGGAGCCCAGGGGUUUUCUGCACUGGGAAGUGGGCAGAUGAAAACGGGAAUGUAGAACAGAUAAACCCAGCAAGAGCCAGCUGGAAGUGGAAAUGGUGUGGGGCCCUGAAGGCCUGGAUCAGGGCAGGACCCUAAGCACAGAGAGAAAGAACGUUUUAAAGGAAAAAUCCACCAGACUUGUCAGCUGUCAGAAUGUGGGGGCUGAAGGCAAGAGAUGAGUCAAAGAUGACUCAGAAGAUUUGAAGGUGAGUUCAAGGGAAAAUGGCAGUACUUUGGGGAAGGAGUUCAAAUUCGUGUCCAGGACCCCUGGUUCUGCUAGGAGACAGAAGCAUGCCCAAAGGCAUCCCACUUGUUUGUAUGUUUCUGGCCUGUCCCUCCCCGACUAGAACAGAAGUUCCUGAGGGAGCUGCCUCUGCUCUGCUCUGUCCGUUCUUUGUGCUUUACUCAGAGGGGCUUCCGCACAUCUGUCCCCUGCCCGACUCAGAGCAGAUGCCAGGGGAUGCAGACUGAGGCUUCCGCAGGAGGGAGGCUAGGGAGGCCUGCAGGUGAGGGGUGAUAGGGAAGAAAGAGUCCCGCCACCCCUCUCCCACAGGUGCUCCCACACCCAAGCACCCCCAGGACUGGACCCUCUCACAGGCACAACCUCCUGUCCUCCAGGCCUCUCUUCCUCUGAGAUCCCAGGCUUUCUGGCCCUACUGAGACUGCCAUCCUGGGAACCGUCUUUGUGCCCAUCCAUGCCUGUCCCAUUGCCUUCCUUCUCAAUACAUCCCUUCUACCACAUUCCUGCUCAUGUUCCCAGCAUCCUGUUCACUGGAGGCCCAUCCACGUGGAUGCGCAGCAGACACUGUGGUCCAACAAAGGUGACACUGAACCAUUGGCAAGGGUCACCUGCCAUCAUCUGUCUGAGCCCUAUGUUCCCCUGGUGAGCACAGCCUCACCCACCCGGGAGCCUCUGGGGCUCCUGUGCUUCACCCUGUUAACUCGCUCCCCUGACCUCUCCCAAGUUUGCCCCUGCUACACCCACCAACUCUUCAGGGACAGGCUCUCCUCAGGUCUCAUUGGAAGCGUGCUUCCUACACGCCACGGUCAGAGUGGAUGGGGGUCAGACUGCAGCUCCUGGGAAGAUGCCACAAUGCCUCCUAUGAUCUCCAGGCCACGUUUCCAGUCCCUUGGCCCCUGCCUACCUCUGACUUCAGCUCCAGUGGCCAACCCCUGCCCCAAGAGGGGCUCCGUGUCCCCCUACCCACUGCACUGAAGGAAUUUUCCAGCCUCCAUUUUCUUUUUAACUCUUGCCUUCUCACUGUUCCCUGGCUAACUCCUAGUAUUCCUUCUAUAUUUCACCGCAGACCCUCAGGGCUCUUGCAAACUCUGUUCCCUCCCUCUCCUGCAUGCCCUUCCCCACACUCCCUCCCCACAGCCAGCACCUGCCCUCCUCAGUGCAUGGGGUGCCCCUCACCAUCGUAGCACUCUUCAAGAGUUUCUAAGUCCACAUAUUUAGGUGGUGGGGGCUUUAUGCCUGCCUCAACCACAAUGGUCAGGACCCAAUUUUGCUCCCACUUUGACCCAGGGCCUGGACAUGGGCUUUUGGUAAACAGAUAUGAACUGAAUGGUGAACAGACAAAUAAUGAACAGUAAGACUCCAUUUCUGGCUUAUCAACGUGGCCAGACAUUUUUUUUCAGCCGCGCUCAGUGCUGCCAACAGUGGGAGGGGAGGGGAACGAGUUUGCCGGCUUCCCAGCAGCAGCAUGUGGUGAAUUCAAGAAGUGACCAACCCCAAGCCGGCCUUUGAAGGAUGGGUUGAAACUUGCUUGGUGAAGUUUCGGUACUGAAGCAUCCCGAUUUUAUAGUUACUCAAUGGAAAAACUGGGUUGCUCCGUGGAAAUCCACUUUAGGGUCGACUCUGAAACAUCAAUGGCCAGCACCCGCUCCCAGGGUCCUCCCACCUUCCUUCUUUUUUCUUUUUUGAAAAAAGAAAAAAGACUCAAGCUGGAGUGCCGUGGCACAAUCUUGGCUCACUGCAACCUCCUCCCCUCAGGUUCAAGUGAUUCUCCUGCCUCAGCCUCCUGAGUAGCUGGGAUUACAGGUGCACGCCACCAUGCCUGAUUAAUUCUUUGUAUUUUUAGUAGAGCUGGGGUUUCACCACGUUGGCCAGGCUGGUCUCUGACUCCUGACCUCAGGUGAUCCACUCGCCUCGGCCUCCCAAAAUGCUGGGAGUAAAGGCAUCAGCCACCUCGCCUGGCCCUUUCACAUCCCUUCUAUGGUCACACCUAUUGUAGAGAGAUUUAGACCGAAGCACAGAGAGGCUGAGAAGCUUGCUCAGAGUCACACAGCCAGUGAGUGGCAGGACCAGAAUUCACAAUCUGGCUCCAGACCUGUGCUUUAACUGAUGCCAUCUUUCUUGGAAACUGUGUCUCCAAGAAAUGACAGAAUUUUUUUUUUUUUUUUUUUUUUUUGAGACGGAAUCUUGCUCUGUCACCAGGCUGGAGUGCAGUGGCGUGCUCUCGGGUUUAAGCGGUUCUCUUGCCUCAGCCUCCCGAGUAGCUGGGAUUUCAGGCAU